rnacentral:tRNA from 1 species
GAGGGUAUAGCUCAGUGGCAUAAUGCCUGCUUAUAGCAUGCAUGAGGUCCUGGGUUCAAUCCCCAGUACCUCCA